UAAACUGAUGCCUGUCGGUUUGGGUAAAUAGCUGUUAACUAUUUUUUGUGGGAUCGAGGCCCGCCGGUUUUA
rnacentral:tRNA from 1 species